GGGGGCAACCCUGAUCCAGCAAUGCCGCGUGAGUGAAGAAGGCCUUCGGGUUGUAAAGCUCUUUUGUCAGGGAAGAAACACCGGCUNUAACACAGUCCGGGAAUGACGGUACCUGAAGAAUAAGCACCGGCUAACUACGUGCCAGCAGCCGCGGUAAUACGUAGGGUGCGAGCGUUAAUCGGAAUUACUGGGCGUAAAGCGUGCGCAGGCGGUUAUACAAGACAGGCGUGAAAUCCCCGGGCUUAACCUGGGAAUGGCGCCUGUGACUGUAUAGCUAGAGUGUGUCAGAGGGGGGUAGAAUUCCACGUGUAGCAGUGAAAUGCGUAGAUAUGUGGAGGAAUACCAAUGGCGAAGGCAGCCCCCUGGGAUAACACUGACGCUCAUGCACGAAAGCGUGGGGAGCAAACAGGAUUAGAUACCCUGGUAGUCCACGCCCUAAACGAUGCUGACUAGUUGUUCGGGAUUUACAUCCUGAGUAACG
rnacentral:rRNA from 1 species